UCUGUCAUUUGUAGAAGAUAAGGGAAUAAAAGAUAACGAGAUAAAAACAAACGAUGAUAACGUGAUUGGACAAAAUUGUUAGACAUCUAUCGCGUAGAUUAUCAAACUAAGUUUUUUUGAGACAUUUGCCUGGGAAUUAAUUUAAAGUGAAUUAUUAUUGGAAUCUGAAGAGAAGUAGACAGUCGUUAGUACCGUGUCGAGUUAGAGAUCGUGUUUAUUGGUUAGAAAUCCAGUGGGAAUAAAGAUUCGAACCAUUCACAAUUAUACUUUAUAGAACAGAACCAAUCAUUAAGUGAGAAAACAUCGGAGUAUAAGAACUGAGCGCAUACAAAUC